rnacentral:ribozyme from 1 species
GCUGUGCAUGUCAAUGCCUCCACGCGGCGCACGGCGGGCAACAAUUUUAUAAUUGGCUAAAUUGACC